GAUGAACGCUGGCGGCGUGCCUAAUACAUGCAAGUCGAGCGAACAGAUGAGGAGCUUGCUCCUCUGACGUUAGCGGCGGACGGGUGAGUAACACGUGGAUGACCUACCUAUAAGACUGGGAUAACUUCGGGAAACCGGAGCUAAUACCGGAUAAUAUAUUGAACCGCAUGGUUCAAUAGUGAAAGACGGUUUUGCUGUCACUUAUAGAUGGAUCCGCGCCGCAUUAGCUAGUUGGUAAGGUAACGGCUUACCAAGGCAACGAUGCGUAGCCGACCUGAGAGGGUGAUCGGCCACACUGGAACUGAGACACGGUCCAGACCCCUACGGGAGGCAGCAGUAGGGAAUCUUCCGCAAUGGGCGAAAGCCUGACGGAGCAACGCCGCGUGAGUGAUGAAGGUCUUCGGAUCGUAAAACUCUGUUAUUGGGGAAGAACAAAUGUGUAAGUAACUAUGCACGUCUUGACGGUACCUAAUCAGAAAGCCACGGCUAACUACGUG
rnacentral:rRNA from 1 species